rnacentral:rRNA from 1 species
CUACGGGACGCUGCAGUGGGGAAUAUUGGACAAUGGGGGAAACCCUGAUCCAGCAAUGCCGCGUGUGUGAAGAAGGCCUGCGGGUUGUAAAGCACUUUCGGUUGGGAGGACUGCUUCUAGCACUAAUAUUGUUGGAAGUUGACGUUACCUUCAGAAGAAGCACCGGCUAGCUCCGUGCCAGCAGCCGCGGCAAUACGGAGGGUGCAAGCGUUAAUCGGAAUUACUGGGCGUAAAGCGCGCGUAGGCGGCUAGAUCAGUCGGGUGUGAAAGCCCCGGGCUUAACCUGGGAACUGCAUCCGAUACUGUCUAGCUUGAGUACAGGAGAGGAGAGUGGAAUUCCACAUGUAGCGGUGAAAUGCGUAGAUAUGUGGAGGAACACCAAUGGCGAAGGCAGCUCUCUGGCCUGAUACUGACGCUGAGGUGCGAAAGCGUGGGGAGCAAACAGGAUUAGAUACCCGAGUAGUC